UGCCGCGUGAGUGAUGAAGGCCUUAGGGUCGUAAAGCUCUUUCGCCAGAGAUGAUAAUGACAGUAUCUGGUAAAGAAACCCCGGCUAACUCCGUGCCAGCAGCCGCGGUAAUACGGAGGGGGUUAGCGUUGUUCGGAAUUACUGGGCGUAAAGCGUACGUAGGCGGAUUAGUCAGUCAGAGGUGAAAUCCCAGGGCUCAACCCUGGAACUGCCUUUGAUACUGCUAGUCUUGAGUUCGAGAGAGGUGAGUGGAAUUCCAAGUGUAGAGGUGAAAUUCGUAGAUAUUCGGAGGAACACCAGUGGCGAAGGCGGCUUACUGGCUCGAUACUGACGCUGAGGUGCGAAAGUGUGGGGAGCAAACAGGAUUAGAUACCCUGGUAGUCCACACCGUAAACGAUGAAUGCCAGACGUCAGCAAGUAUACUUGUUGGUGUCACACCUAACGGAUUAAGCAUUCCGCCUGGGGAGUACGGUCGCAAGAUUAAAACUCAAAUGAAUUGACGGGGGCCCGCACAAGCGGUGGAGCAUGUGGUUUAAUUCGAUGCAACGCGAAGAACCUUACCUACUCUUGACAUACUAGAAACUUUUCAGAGAUGAAUUGGUGCCUUCGGGAAUCUAGAUACAGGUGCUGCAUGGCUGUCGUCAGCUCGUGUCGUGAGAUGUUGGGUUAAGUCCCGCAACGAGCGCAACCCUUGUCCUUAGUUGCCAGCCUUAAGUUGGGCACUCUAAGGAGACUGCCGGUGACAAACCGGAGGAAGGUGGGGACGACGUCA
rnacentral:rRNA from 1 species